rnacentral:rRNA from 1 species
GAUGAACGCUGGCGGCGUGCCUAAUACAUGCAAGUCGAGCGAACAGACGAGGAGCUUGCUCCUCUGACGUUAGCGGCGGACGGGUGAGUAACACGUGGAUAACCUACCUAUAAGACUGGGAUAACUUCGGGAAACAGGAGCUAAUACCGGAUAACAUGUUGAACCGCAUGGUUCAACAGUGAAAGACGGUCUUGCUGUCACUUAUAGAUGGAUCCGCGCCGCAUUAGCUAGUUGGUAAGGUAACGGCUUACCAAGGCAACGAUGCGUAGCCGACCUGAGAGGGUGAUCGGCCACACUGGAACUGAGACACGGUCCAGACUCCUACGGGAGGCAGCAGUAGGGAAUCUUCCGCAAUGGGCGAAAGCCUGACGGAGCAACGCCGCGUGAGUGAAGAAGGUCUUCGGAUCGUAAAACUCUGUUAUUAGGGAAGAACAAAUGUGUAAGUAACUAUGCACGUCUUGACGGUACCUAAUCAGAAAGCCACGGCUAACUACGUG